rnacentral:ncRNA from 1 species
CAAAAGUUUGGUCCUGGCUUUACCCUCAACUCUAGCUAAACUUACACAUGCAAGUAUCCGCACCCCUGUGAGAAUGCCCAAAAGUCCCCCACCCGGGGACAAGGAGCUGGUAUCAGGCUCUACUUUUGUCAGCCCAUAACACCUUGCUUAGCCACACCCCCACGGGAACUCAGCAGUGAUAAAUAUUAAGCCAUAAGUGAAAACUUGACUUAGUCAAGGCUAAGAGGGCCGGUAAAACUCGUGCCAGCUACCGCGGUUAUACGAGAGGCCCAAGUUGAGGGGUAGCGGCGUAAAGCGUGGUUAAGGCAAUUUUUAAACUAGGGCUAAAUUUUUUCAAAGUUGUUUAAAGCUACCGAAAACAAGAAACCCAGCCACGAAAGUGGCCCUAUAACAUCUGAAGCCACGAAAGCUAGGGCACAAACUGGGAUUAGAUACCCCACUAUGCCUAGCCAUAAAUACAGAUAGGAGAAAACCCAUUCUAUCCGCCAGGGGACUACGAGCAUAAGCUUAAAACCCAAAGGACUUGGCGGUGCUUAAAACCCCCCUAGAGGAGCCUGUUCUGGAACCGAUGACCCCCGUUCAACCUCACCCUCUCUUGUUAUUCCCGCCUAUAUACCGCCGUCGUCAGCCUACCCUGUAAAGGACACGCAGUAAGCAAAAUUGGCACAGCCCAAAACGUCAGGUCGAGGUGUAGCUUAUGAGAGGGGAAGAAAUGGGCUACAUUCCCUGACCCAGGGCACACGGAUAGUAAAAUGAAAAUGUUACUUGAAGGAGGAUUUAGUAGUAAGUAAAGAAUAGAGUGCUUUACUGAAAUUGGCCCUAAAGCGCGCACACACCGCCCGUCACUCUCCCCGAAUUUAAAAAUUUUAACACUAACUAAAAAGAACAAAACACAAAGGGGAGGCAAGUCGUAACACGGUAAGUGUACCGGAAGGUGCACUUGGAAAACU